AUAUAGCCUGUCUUGUGGGUUGGGACGCCCAGAGCCUUCUGUGCUUUGCUUAAGAACAGUAGAUGAUGCUCACGAAGCCUCUGAAUCCCGCGUGCUUCCCAUGAGAAGGGCGCUGUUCCAUAGUGACAACAGUGGAUAUCAGCGCCAUGAAGGGUCCUUCCCGAGAGACUCCUGAAACACUCAUUUCGCAGCGAAGAUGCCUGCCAGCAAGACCGACUGGAAAAAGAAUUUUCUCUCCCAUUGACUUGGAUCAUAAAAUCAGAGGAAUUUCUCCUAUUUGGAUUUACCCGGGAGCCUAGUGGAAUUAGCCUGAACUGGCUGAUUUAUUUCCUAUGGAAGGAAACUGAAUGCAAUCCCACAAACUACCAGUAGAUGUCACUAUGUGCCACGUUAUCGUGCUUGCGGUCUCCCACCUGACUUUCCCUUGAAUUUUAAAAUUCCCAUCCACAAACUCCUGGGAAUCCCUG
rnacentral:lncRNA from 1 species